AUGUGUUUCUGAUGUGCAGAAUUCAUCUGUGCCUUGGCUUGUCCUCUAUAAAAUGGGUCCACUGAGUCUACUCUUCACGCCCUUUGUGAACUGUGAGGCUGUACCUGCAGAUGAUGAGUACAUCAGGUCCCCAGGUUCCCAGAUCCCCAGUGCCGGGAGAACCACAGGGCUGUUGAUGACGGUGUGGAGAGUGGGUUUCGUCCCGUGUGGCCAUCCUGGACGUGUGUGAUGUGAUGGCGGGAUAUAGGGAGCGCUGAGAGAACUUGGACAGGGUGUGGAGGGAAAGUCACAGCUAUGGUGCUCGGCUGUCCCCUCCCCGAGACCCGGGAAACUCAGGGGAAGACUCCUUGGGUGUGUGGUGGAAUGGAGGGUGUGGGAUUUCAGGCUGGGAUGGACCUUGUGCUUCAGGUCUUUCGAUUGUCUGAUUCUGGGAGGCUUCCGUAAGCAGAGACAGAGACCUUCUCUGUGUUCAGUGCUUUGCAGACUUUCUGUUCACGUGAUCAUUAAGACAGACAUGGGGCGGGGGGUGGUCUCUGACUUGCCAUUGCUCCUGUUGCAGAGACAAGAGAAAUGAGAGCAUGGGAAGGCGAGCCAUUUUAGUAAAGAUGCAGGGUGAAAAGGCUUUGGAGUCAGGACUUUAAUAUGGCCCAGUCAGAGGUCUUGUACCAGAAUGACUUUCAUUGGUCCCCAUAAGGGGACAUAUUAGUCCAAUUAGCAGUCUGGUGUCCUUUCCCAAUGGCCUUUCGCUCUGUGUGUGUGUGUGUGUGUGUGUGUGUGUGUGUGUGUGUGUGUGUGUGUGUGUAUCUGUCUGUCUGUCUGUCUGUCUGUUUUGCAUGUGCGUGUGUUAUGGGGCCUACCAGAAAUGACCAUUCAGACAGUUUAUAGCCAAGGGAAAGUCUUUAUUCCAGCUGGCUGGGGCUACACUCAGGUAUUCCUGACCCAAGCAUAUAUUGAGUGUUGGGGGUAAAGGUUUUUUGGUUUUGUUUUGAGACAGAGUUUCUCUAUAGAACAGCCCUGGCUGUCCUAGAUUUCACUCUGUAGACCAGGCUGACUUCAAACUCACAGAGACCCACCUGCCUCUGCCUCCUGAGUGCUGAGAUUAAAGGUAUGUGCCAUCACCACCCGGCAUGGGUAAGGGGUUUGAAAAGGGAAAACCCACAUCCUGGUAUGUCAUUUGGUAGCUCCAGGGGUAGGUUUGUAGAAACAGGCAACUUAAUAGAAGGUAAGGUAAGUUACCUGGGGUGUCCUGACUUCAGGUUCCUAAAAUAGAGUUGGGUAAUUUUCCACGGGAUGCACCAUCAAGAGGAUGAAAUUCUAAUUAAACCUGAAAUGGCCUCAGCAAGAAUCCAAGAUGGAGGAACCUCUGCACCGUCUCGCCCUGUUACAGAUGGUGUGCGAGUGUUCUUGUUCAGGUGCUCAUACCAUGCACACGCGUUUGGAGGCCAGGAGAGGUCGGGUGCUUUUCUCUCUUUCCCUUUAUCUUUUUCCUUUGUUCUUUCUCAACUUGGAGCUAGCCUGGACACCGAUCAACAAACCCCAGCCAUCCUUUCCUUUCUGCCCUCUAUAGCCUGGGACCUGUAAGUAUGUUCGAGGUCACAUCCAGCUUUUUAUGAAUGGAGAUUUGAACUCUUACCACUGAACCAUCUCCACAGCCCCAUCCCUUUCUAUCAUGUAUGAGGCCUUGGUAUUUGGGUUUUUACCUUCUUGGGGGUAAAAACCAACCCAAGCUGGAGUGUGUGUCUGUGUGGGGAGCUACUGUGUAUGUGGGGGGGGGGGGAGGACUGUGGACAGUGUAUAUGUUUGUCGGGGGCGUGGCGAGGGACUGUGGACAGUGUGUUCUGUGUUGAUAGAGAUCUGAAUUAGGAGGGAACCUAGCCCACCUCCCAACAUUUGUAUUCCCUUCCCACUGAUUUUAAGGGUGACUAGGGAAAAAAGGGCCCCUGGUAGUUGUAGUCUGGAGGGUUUGCAAAUCUCCUUACCUCCAAGACCCACAUUGUACUUAACCCAGUGCCUACGACAUUCUGUUCAGCUGGAUUGAACUUCGAGUUGCCUGAUUUUUUUGUCUUGCCUCUGUGGUCAUCUGGUGAUGGCAGCUGCUUAAUGGUUUUAUGCAAUAAACGUUCAUAGACUGGGUCUUGCCGAUUACCAAA